GGAAAUUGGAAAGGAAUUUAUAAGUUGUGCAGGGUGUUGUAGACAAUAAAGUUUAGAACUUACAUGUUGGAAUGCUAAUCUGUGUGAUGAAUUCCAUUGUUUACAGCUUAUGUUGGGUGAUAUUGUAAUUUCUGUUGAGAUAGCAGUAAGACAAGCAGAGGAAAGAGGGCACACUCUUCUUGAUGAGAUCUGAAUCCUCAUGGUUCAUGGUUUGUUACAUCUUUUGGGAUUUGAUCAUGAAAUAAGCGAAAAGGCUGAAGUAGAAAUGGAAAGAGAGGAGGAAAUCCUUUUAAGAAGUCUUGAUUGGAAGGGAAAAGGGCUAAUAAAGAGUGCAUGUGAUGUUGAAACAAACUCAAAUUUUCACCAAGACAGUUCAGAUGGCAAUUGUAUUUUUUACUAACAGGAAGAAAGAAGGCAGUCUUCGAUUUUACAAACCAAAGUUUAGCUAUAUCUUCUGUGAUAUGGAUGUGGUUAUCAACUCCAUUGUAUUUCAUGCAAAGGAAAGUUCAAAUCAGGUUUUUCAUGUGUUGACUGAUGGAGAAAAUUAUUAUGCAAUGAAGCUCUGGUUCUUGAGGAACCAUUAUAAGGAAGCUUUUGUUCAAGUGCUGAAUGUAUCAUUUUGUGGUUAUGAUAAUCCAUCCAUGAACCAAAUUAGAAUAGAAUACCUUUCAAUUUUUUCUGAUUCACACUAUUUACUUCCUGAUUUAU